rnacentral:rRNA from 1 species
UACGUAGGUCCUGAGCGUUGUCCGGAUUUAUUGGGCGUAAAGCGAGCGCAGGUGGUUUAUUAAGUCUGGUGUAAAAGGCAGUGGCUCAACCAUUGUAUGCAUUGGAAACUGGUAGACUUGAGUGCAGGAGAGGAGAGUGGAACUCCAUGUGUAGCGGUGAAAUGCGUAGAUAUAUGGAAGAACACCAGUGGCGAAAGCGGCUCUCUGGUCUGUAACUGACGCUGAGGUUCGAAAGCGUGGGUAGCAAACAGG